rnacentral:tRNA from 1 species
GUCUCAUUAGCUCAAUGGUAGAGCCUGAUACUUCUAAUAUUAUGAUCUUAGUUCGAUUCUAAGAUGAGAUU